rnacentral:rRNA from 1 species
ACGGGUGAGGAAUACAUCGGAAUCUACUUUUUCGUGGGGGAUAACGUAGGGAAACUUACGCUAAUACCGCAUACGACCUACGGGUGAAAGCAGGGGAUCUUCGGACCUUGCGCGAUUGAAUGAGCCGAUGUCGGAUUAGCUAGUUGGCGGGGUAAAGGCCCACCAAGGCGACGAUCCGUAGCUGGUCUGAAAGGAUGAUCAGCCACACUGGAACUGAGACACGGUCCAGACUCCUACGGGAGGCAGCAGUGGGGAAUAUUGGACAAUGGGCGCAAGCCUGAUCCAGCCAUACCGCGUGGGUGAAGAAGGCCUUCGGGUUGUAAAGCCCUUUUGUUGGGAAAGAAAUCCAGCCGGCUAAUACCUGGUUGGGAUGACGGUACCCAAAGAAUAAGCACCGGCUAACUUCGUGCCAGCAGCCGCGGUAAUACGAAGGGUGCAAGCGUUACUCGGAAUUACUGGGCGUAAAGCGUGCGUAGGUGGUUGUUUAAGUCUGUUGUGAAAGCCCUGGGCUCAACCUGGGAACUGCAGUGGAAACUGGACAACUAGAGUGUGGUAGAGGGUAGCGGAAUUCCCGGUGUAGC